rnacentral:rRNA from 1 species
UACGUAGGGUGCAAGCGUUAAUCGGAAUUACUGGGCGUAAAGCGUGCGCAGGCGGUUAAGCAAGACAGAUGUGAAAUCCCCGGGCUUAACCUGGGAACCGCAUUUGUGACUGCAUAGCUGGAGUACGGCAGAGGGGGAUGGAAUUCCGCGUGUAGCAGUGAAAUGCGUAGAUAUGCGGAGGAACACCGAUGGCGAAGGCAGUCCCCUGGGCCUGUACUGACGCUCAUGCACGAAAGCGUGGGGAGCAAACAGG